GACGAACGCUGGCGGCGUGCUUAACACAUGCAAGUCGAACGGAAAGGCCCUGCUUUUGUGGGGUGCUCGAGUGGCGAACGGGUGAGUAACACGUGAGUAACCUGCCCUUGACUUUGGGAUAACUUCAGGAAACUGGGGCUAAUACCGGAUAGGAGCUCCUGCUGCAUGGUGGGGGUUGGAAAGUUUCGGCGGUUGGGGAUGGACUCGCGGCUUAUCAGCUUGUUGGUGGGGUAGUGGCUUACCAAGGCUUUGACGGGUAGCCGGCCUGAGAGGGUGACCGGCCACAUUGGGACUGAGAUACGGCACAGACGCCUACGGGAGGCAGCAGUGGGGAAUAUUGCACCAUGGGCGGAAGCCUGAUGCAGCAACGCCGCGUGCGGGAUGACGGCCUUCGGGUUGUAAACCGCUUUCGCCUGUGACGAAGCGUGAGUGACGGUAAUGGGUAAAGAAGCACCGGCUAACUACGUG
rnacentral:rRNA from 1 species